AUGGGCUCAGGUUUGGGCAUAGGCUUAGGCUCUGGCUUUGGCAUGGGUUCAGGCUUAGGCUCUGGCUUUGGCAUGGGUUCAGGCUUAGGCAUUGGCUCUGGCUUGGGUUCCGGCUUGGGCUCCGGGUACGGCGUCGGCUUGGGCUCCGGCUCCGGGAGCUUCUCAGCGAGGCCACGGCCAGCGGCGGCCGCCUGGCUGAAGCCGGAGGCCGCGACUAGCCCGACGAGGAGCACGGCAAGGAGGCUGUGCCUCGCCAUUGCUGCCCGCUCCUCCUUCUCGCAGCUCUUGCUGCACUUGUGCUUCACUGCUUCUAAACCUCUCUACUGA
rnacentral:rRNA from 1 species